rnacentral:tRNA from 1 species
GGGCGAUUAGCUCAGUCGGCUAGAGCGCUGCCUUCACACGGCAGAGGUCGAGGGUUCGAGUCCCCCAUCGCCCA